GACGAACCGUACAAACGUUAUUCGGAAUCACUGGGCGUAAAGGGUGCGUAGGUGGCAAGGUAAGUUUGAUGUGAAAUCUCCGGGCUUAACCCGGAAACUGCAUUGAAUACUAUCUCGCUCGAGAGUUGGAGGGGAGACUGGAAUACUUGGUGUAGCAGUGAAAUGCGUAGAUAUCAAGUGGAACACCAGUGGCGAAGGCGAGUCUCUGGACAACUUCUGACACUGAGGCACGAAAGCUAGGGGAGCAAACAGG
rnacentral:rRNA from 1 species